rnacentral:rRNA from 12 species
GCGACCCCAGGUCAGGCGGGACUACCCGCUGAAUUUAAGCAUAUAAAUAA